GGGUGUGGCUCAGUGGUAGUGUGCUAUACCUAGCAUGCAUGAGGCCCUGGGUUCAAUCCCCAGCACCACA
rnacentral:tRNA from 1 species